UACGUAGGGGGCAAGCGUUGUCCGGAUUUAUUGGGCGUAAAGAGCGUGUAGGCGGCCAUACAGGUCCGUUGUGAAAACUGGAGGCUUAACCUCCAGACGUCGAUGGAAACCGUAUGGCUAGAGUCCGGAAGAGGAGAGUGGAAUUCCACGUGUAGCAGUGAAAUGCGUAGAGAUGUGGAGGAACACCGAUGGCGAAGGCAGCCUCCUGGGCCAGCACUGACGCUCAUGCACGAAAGCGUGGGGAGCAAACAGG
rnacentral:rRNA from 1 species